rnacentral:lncRNA from 10 species
CAUAGAGGGCUGUGGACAGAGGAGGAACAGGACCUGAGUCAGGUGCUCACAGGCACCCUCUAGUGGCUUUGCAGAGAAUGCACUGAAGAGGCAGGGCAGUGGCCAAGGAGAGACCAGUCCAGCUCUCAGCACAUGCUGUGUGUCUCCGGGGCAAGGGAAGUCACUCUAUGGGCUCAUUUUCCUUAUCAGCUAAAAGGGGAACUUUAACAGCAGGCAGAGACUCAGAAAAUGAGCAGAAGGAGCUCGCUGCCUGAGAUUCAGGCCAGGCGUGGGGCUGCUGAGUUAAUACUUUUAACAGGUCAGGAUUCUGCUCACCACACUCCGGGAGGUGGGAAGAUGAGGUCAGCCACACCCCCAGCUCAGGCUCUGAUGAAGUCAUCGUGACAGAUGGAGUCUUGCUUUGUCACCCAGACUGGAGUCCUGUGGCACAAUCUCGGCUCACUGCAACCUCCCAGGUUCAACCUCCCAGGUUCAGAUGAUUCUCCUGCCUUAGCCUCCUAAGUAGCUGAAACCACAGGCCCUCACCACCACGCCUGG